rnacentral:rRNA from 1 species
GCUUAGCCCUAAAUCAUGAUAUUUUACAUAACAUAAAUAUCCGCCCGAGAACUACGAGCUUAUAGCUUAAAACUCAAAGGACUUGGCGGUGUCCCAUACCCUACUAGAGGAGCCUGUUCUACAAGCGAUAAUCCACGAUAAACCUUACCACCCUUUGCCAUUCAGCCUAUAUACCGCCGUCUACAGCUUACCUUAUGAAAGCUAAAAAGUAAGCAAAAUAGCCCCUUACAGCUAGAAAGUCAGGUCCAGGUGUAGCCAAUGGGGUGGGUGCAAUGGGCUACAUUUUCUAAAAUAGAAAUAUUCACGAACAGACCCUUGAAAUUAGGAUCUUAGAAGUAGGAUUUAGCAGUAAUUUAGGAAUAGAGAGCCUACAUUAAGCCGGCCCUGGGACAAGC